rnacentral:rRNA from 1 species
AACGAACGCUGGCGGCAUGCCUAACACAUGCAAGUCGAACGAUCCCUUCGGGGAUAGUGGCGCACGGGUGCGUAACGCGUCGGAACCUGCCCUUAGGCUCGGAAUAACACAGAGACAUUUGAGCUAAUACCGGAUAAUGUACUCGGAUCAAAGAUUUAUCGCCUUUGGGGGGGCCCGCGUUGGUUUAGCUAGUGGGUGGGGUAAAGGCCUACUAAGGCGACGAUCCAUAGCUGGUUAGAGAGGCUGAUCAGCCACACUGGGACUGAGACCCGGCCCAGACUCCUGCGGGAGGCAGCAGUGGGGAAUAUUGGACAAUGGGCUGAGGCCUGAUCCAGCUAUGCCGCGUGAGUGAUGAAGGCCGUAGGGUUGUAAAGCUCUUUUACCCGGGGUGAUAAUGACGGUACCGGAAGAAUAAGCCCCGGCUAACUCCGUG